rnacentral:rRNA from 1 species
GACGAACGCUGGCGGCGUGCCUAAUACAUGCAAGUCGAACGAACUCUGGUAUUGAUUGGUGCUUGCAUCAUGAUUUACAUUUGAGUGAGUGGCGAACUGGUGAGUAACACGUGGGAAACCUGCCCAGAAGCGGGGGAUAACACCUGGAAACAGAUGCUAAUACCGCAUAACAACUUGGACCACAUGGUCCGAGUUUGAAAGAUGGCUUCGGCUAUCACUUUUGGAUGGUCCCGCGGCGUAUUAGCUAGAUGGUGGGGUAACGGCUCACCAUGGCAAUGAUACGUAGCCGACCUGAGAGGGUAAUCGGCCACAUUGGGACUGAGACACGGCCCAAACUCCUACGGGAGGCAGCAGUAGGGAAUCUUCCACAAUGGACGAAAGUCUGAUGGAGCAACGCCGCGUGAGUGAAGAAGGGUUUCGGCUCGUAAAACUCUGUUGUUAAAGAAGAACAUAUCUGAGAGUAACUGUUCAGGUAUUGACGGUAUUUAACCAGAAAGCCACGGCUAACUACGUGCCAGCAGCCGCGGUAAUACGUAGGUGGCAAGCGUUGUCCGGAUUUAUUGGGCGUAAAGCGAGCGCAGGCGGUUUUUUAAGUCUGAUGUGAAAGCCUUCGGCUCAACCGAAGAAGUGCAUCGGAAACUGGGAAACUUGAGUGCAGAAGAGGACAGUGGAACUCCAUGUGUAGCGGUGAAAUGCGUAGAUAUAUGGAAGAACACCAGUGGCGAAGGCGGCUGUCUGGUCUGUAACUGACGCUGAGGCUCGAAAGUAUGGGUAGCAAACAGGAUUAGAUACCCUGGUAGUCCAUACCGUAAACGAUGAAUGCUAAGUGUUGGAGGGUUUCCGCCCUUCAGUGCUGCAGCUAACGCAUUAAGCAUUCCGCCUGGGGAGUACGGCCGCAAGGCUGAAACUCAAAGGAAUUGACGGGGGCCCGCACAAGCGGUGGAGCAUGUGGUUUAAUUCGAAGCUACGCGAAGAACCUUACCAGGUCUUGACAUACUAUGCAAAUCUAAGAGAUUAGACGUUCCCUUCGGGGACAUGGAUACAGGUGGUGCAUGGUUGUCGUCAGCUCGUGUCGUGAGAUGUUGGGUUGAGUCCCGCAACGAGCGCAACCCUUAUUAUCAGUUGCCAGCAUUAAGUUGGGCACUCUGGUGAGACUGCCGGUGACAAACCGGAGGAAGGUGGGGAUGACGUCAAAUCAUCAUGCCCCUUAUGACCUGGGCUACACACGUGCUACAAUGGAUGGUACAACGAGUUGCGAACUCGCGAGAGUAAGCUAAUCUCUUAAAGCCAUUCUCAGUUCGGAUUGUAGGCUGCAACUCGCCUACAUGAAGUCGGAAUCGCUAGUAAUCGCGGAUCAGCAUGCCGCGGUGAAUACGUUCCCGGGCCUUGUACACACCGCCCGUCACACCAUGAGAGUUUGUAACACCCAAAGUCGGUGGGGUAACCUUUUAGGAACCAGCCGCCUAAGGUGGGACAGAUGAUUAGGGUG